rnacentral:rRNA from 1 species
AGUGAACGCUGGCGGUAGGCCUAACACAUGCAAGUCGAACGGCGGCACAGUAAGAGCUUGCUCUUACGGGUGGCGAGUGGCGGACGGGUGAGGAAUACAUCGGAAUCUACUUUUUCGUGGGGGAUAACGUAGGGAAACUUACGCUAAUACCGCAUACGACCUACGGGUGAAAGCAGGGGAUCUUCGGACCUUGCGCGAUUGAAUGAGCCGAUGUCGGAUUAGCUAGUUGGCGGGGUGAAGGCCCACCAAGGCGACGAUCCGUAGCUGGUCUGAGAGGAUGAUCAGCCACACUGGAACUGAGACACGGUCCAGACUCCUACGGGAGGCAGCAGUGGGGAAUAUUGGACAAUGGGCGCAAGCCUGAUCCAGCCAUACCGCGUGGGUGAAGAAGGCCUUCGGGUUGUAAAGCCCUUUUGUUGGGAAAGAAAAGCAGCAGGUUAAUACCCCGCUGUUCUGACGGUACCCAAAGAAUAAGCACCGGCUAACUUCGUG